rnacentral:tRNA from 1 species
CGCCGAGGGGCAGCGGCUGCGCGGCGGCGAGGGCUCGAUGCCCUCGGUGAUCGUGUCCUGGCUGCUGAUCGUCGCGGUGUGCGGCGC